UCCCACACACUGAGCAUCCCCGGUGCAGAAAGACCACAAGAUUGUUUCCAGAGUGGGUAAAAGGCGGAGAAAAGCUCCGUACCUGUCUGCGAGCUGAUCCAGUGUCUCAGAGCAGGAAGGUCUCCGUCCUCCGCUGCUUCAUCACACUGAUGCUGCUGAUGCUGAUGAUGAUGGUGGUGGUGAUGAUGAUGAUGAUGAUGAUGAUGAUGCUGUUGUAGGCGACAGGCGGCGGGGUGCGCGAGGCUCCCGGUGAAGUUGCAGCUCGCUUCAAAGUGUACAGAGACUGCGCAGUGGAGCGAGACCGGUGUUGCCUUCAAGUGCUGUCGGAAAUGUUACAUUAGGAGAGGGAGUGUACGAGAUGUUGUAGGUAGACUAAAUGACUAAAAUUA